UGCUAACAAGUCCGACGUUCUACAAACGCUUUCCCCGACUAAAUUUUGUGUAUUUUAUUUCCCCCAUUUUAACUGCCCCCAUUUAUUAAGAUCUCCCACGUAUUCCCAACCUCUCUCUUCACUUUUUCUCCGAUCCGGGUUUUUAAUUCCUCUUCAUCAGUUCCUGGAUUCGUGAGGAAAUCAAAUGGCUGCUCCACCUGCUAGAGCUCGUGCCGACUACGAUUACCUCAUCAAACUACUCUUGAUCGGCGACAGCGGUGUGGGUAAGAGUUGUCUCCUUUUACGUUUCUCAGAUGGCUCCUUCACCACCAGUUUUAUCACCACUAUUGGUAUUGAUUUCAAGAUAAGGACCAUAGAACUUGAUGGCAAACGAAU